rnacentral:rRNA from 1 species
GCCCCGGCUAACUACGUGCCAGCAGCCGCGGUAAUACGUAGGGGGCGAGCGUUGUCCGGAAUUAUUGGGCGUAAAGGGUACGUAGGCGGCUUUUUAAGUUUGACGUGAAAGCCCGGGGCUUAACUCCGGCAAGCGUUGAAAACUGGAGGGCUUGAGUGAUGGAAGGGACAGUGGAAUUCCUGGUGUAGUGGUGAAAUGCGCAGAGAUCAGGAAGAAUACCAGUGGCGAAGGCGACUGUCUGGACAUUAACUGACGCUGAGGUACGAAAGCGUGGGGAGCAAACAGGAUCAGAUACCCUGGUAGUCCACGCCGUAAACGAUGAGUGCUAGAUGUCGGGUGUCAAAGCUCGGUAUCGCCGUUAACACAUUAAGCACUCCGCCUGGGGAGUACGUACGCA